CUCUGCGCAAGGGAUCUUUUGGUUCGCUAGACGAAGAAGGGCGCAGCGGAAUGCGAAAUGUGCAGGAGCAGCAGCGAAGAUAGCACAUGCCUGAAAUCACGAGAGUGAGACUACCCCUUUGAAUUAAGCAUAUGAGUAAAGGGAGGAAAAGAAACUAACAAGGAUUCCUCUAGUAGCGGCGAGCGAAGAAGGAACAGCCCCGAGUGUAAUCACCUAUAAUUAAUAUAGAGUG
rnacentral:rRNA from 1 species